UACAGAGGGUGCGAGCGUUAAUCGGAGUUACUGGGCGUAAAGGGCGCGUAGGCGGUAAGAUGUGUGUGAUGUGAAAGCCCCGGGCUUAACCUGGGAAGUGCAUCGCAAACUAUCUAACUGGAGUAUAUGAGAGGGUGGCGGAAUUUCCGGUGUAGCGGUGAAAUGCGUAGAGAUCGGAAGGAACGUCAAUGGCGAAGGCAGCCACCUGGCAUAAUACUGACGCUGAGGCGCGAAAGCGUGGGGAGCGAACAGG
rnacentral:rRNA from 1 species